rnacentral:lncRNA from 1 species
AAUGCCUGUCCCUCCUCAAUGCUGCCCAGAAGACAAUGGGUGGUUUAUUCUCUGGAAAGGAUAAAACAGAAGGUCUAUACUGGGGAAAGCUGUGCUGGCAUCAGAGCUUCCUACCUUUCUGUGAGAUCUCCAGAAUGUCUACAUAGGAAGGGAUUUCAAGAGGCAUUGGUAGAAGAGAAGGACUGGGACCUGCCUUGAGGUUGUCCGAGCAGAGCAAGCACCCCUUGUGUGCACUUCGGGUGACCUGUCAGGAGGCAUUUGGAUGGAGGGCCCACUGGCCACUCCACGGCACUACCACUGUCAUUUGCACUUGCUAAAAAAAGUGGGAUAGACACAGACAUCACAAGAAAAGCUUGUGAUUGUACUCUAAACAAUCAAAGGAGCAGCAGAUAAUCCCUGAGCUGCUUUGGGUAAAAGUCCUU